GAAGCAGUACCUUUGCCCAGAUGAAGCUGUUUCCAUUAAAGGAAGCAGUGCUGUCAUUUACGAUGGAAGCCCACGGAGCAUGGGUUUUUUUGAAGCAUCUCUUGACUCAGUUGUGCUUCUUGACUAAACCCACUCUUAUUGCCUGCCUAAUUGCCUUUCACCGAGAUUAUGUCCCAACACCAUUAUGCGAGCUUCUGUCCUGAAGUCGAGGCCCUUCUAGUAAGUUGCAGAAUCAAGUAUUAAUUGAAGAAUGGAAUCUAGCGUUACUAAUAUAGAGAAGUCUUUAAAACACUGCACCACUACCUACAAUAUAUCAAUUCUUUACUAACCGCGCAUUACAUAACAAUUUGGCUUCUAGACUCACGUAAGCGCCCUUUGACUUUCUACUUUAUACUCUUCCUUCUUUGUCUUUCUUGCUUGUUCUGUUCGCUUUUUGAUUUGCUUGUUCAGUCCUUAACAAAUGCAUUUGAGCCUUGAAAUAAGCACUUUUGGCUUCUUCCUACGAACUCCAUAAUGAAUCCGUUUGUUUAUUCCCUUGCUUGACUAUCAUCUAAUCCCUAAUCCGCGAGUAAGUAUGGUAGGCUUGAAAUUAGGCCUUUUUUAUUCCAUACUAUCGCUCCAUCAUAAUCCGAUAAUUGUGAUUGAUUCAUAUAGAGGGUUGAUGAUGCUAUCUACCUAUCUAUUUGGUGGUCCAUAUAGAGGGUGGAUUCCCCUACCGUUAAGCUAUCUCCUAAACGGAUAUGGCGCUAGGGGUGAGGCAAGGAUAUUGGAGGUUGUACUAUCAGAAACCAUAGGCUUGAAGCACCUUGAUUUCAUAUACUUCUAAUGGAAACAACAUUCCUUUCUCUGUAAUUAAAACAACAUCCCCCUUUAUCAGCUAUGGCUAUGGAGAUUCUCACAACAGAAUAAUGGUUUCUUAUGUUUAUAUAGGCCUUUAUCUAGCUAUUGAGCAUAUCCCUGGAAUUCAAAAGGAGCUCUGUUACUAUCUUUCAGCACAAGAUGGAGCAACGAGAAAGAGAGAAGAAAGGUGGGUGCUUGGGUUGUAAUUGAGAAGGAAAUGGUACUUAUUUCUUUGGUUCCAGUGAAGAUUAUUGAAUACUAAACUCAAGAAGGGCCACUAUGCCUCGUAUCAAGUGCUUUUUGCGAGAAUGAUGGCAUUUAUCAGAUCUUUGAAAUGGAAAUGAAACAAAUACUUAUUGAUUCUGUGUUGUGCUUAGCGAAGGAGAAUACUACUUAUGGUUUACAUAAAAUCCCUUGCGCUUACGGAGUUUGACGUUACGAUGAAACUCAUUGUCCCCGCGCCAGUAGAGAGUUGACUUAGCCCUUGUGCCUUAGAGAGACAGUAGAGAGUUGAGUUAGCCCAACACAGAUCAAGUAACGAAUAAACAAGCAAACAACUACACUAAACAAGCAAACAAGCUACAACUAGCGUAAAGAAUGAGAAGUCUGAAAUUCCCCCAUUACAAUUUCUAAUAAGCGAG
rnacentral:lncRNA from 1 species